rnacentral:tRNA from 1 species
UUUUCCUGGGCCAUUAGCUCAGGUGGUUAGAGCGCACCCCUGAUAAGGGUGAGGUCCCUGGUUCAGGUCCAGGAUGGCCCAUAUCUCUAUGUUGGGGGUAUAGCUCAGUUGGUAGAGCGCCUGCUUUGCAAGCAGGAUGUCAGCGGUUCGAGUCCGCUUACCUCCACUGAAUACCACCUCUUACAUAUAGUUGAAGUGGGAAAUUGUUUUGAGUCGUGUCCUAUUUUGCUCUGAGCGAAUCUAGCUUCCUAUUUUAUUAAAUAAAUAAGAUGCUGGACUCAUUGAGUCUUUUUUCAUUGUUUUCAGAGAACCUUGACAACUGCAUAGAUUAUUUUUAAAGACAAUAAGCAUCUUUAAUGAUGCAGAUUUAUUAUUUGUGCGAAUGCAUUAAAUAACAAUUCUAUUAAGCUGAUGCUUCAAUUAUUGAAGUUAUUGGUCAAGCUACAAAGGGCUCACGGAGGAUACCUAGGCACACAGAGGCGAUGAA